rnacentral:rRNA from 1 species
UACGGGGGGAGCAAGCGUUGUUCGGAUUUACUGGGCGUAAAGGGCGCGUAGGCGGCCUCCGCAAGUCAAUUGUGAAAUCUCCGGGCUUAACCCGGAAAGGUCAGCCGAUACUGCGGGGCUAGAGUGCAGAAGGGGCAACUGGAAUUCUCGGUGUAGCGGUGAAAUGCGUAGAUAUCGAGAGGAACACCUGCGGCGAAGGCGGGUUGCUGGGCUGACACUGACGCUGAUGCGCGAAAGCUAGGGGAGCGAACGGG